rnacentral:rRNA from 1 species
GUAGGGGGCUAGCGUUGUCCGGAUUUAUUGGGCGUAAAGCGCGUGUAGGCGGCCAGGUAGGUCCGUUGUGAAAACCCGAGGCUUAACCUCGGGACGCCGACGGAAACCAUCUGGCUAGGGUCCGGAAGAGGAGAGUGGAAUUCCCGGUGUAGCGGUGAAAUGCGCAGAUAUCGGGAAGAACACCCGUGGCGAAGGCGGCUCUCUGGGACGGUACCGACGCUGAGACGCGAAAGCGUGGGGAGCGAACAGGAUUAGAUACCCUGGUAGUCCACGCCGUAAACGAUGGGUGCUAGGUGUGGGAGGUGUCGACUCCUUCCGUGCCGAAGCUAACGCAUUAAGCACCCCGCCUGGGGAGUACGGCCGCAAGGCUA